GGCUCUGACGGGUGUCCAGAGCGUCCACGAAGCGGAGUCGUAGGUUCGAAUCCUACACGGCCCACCA
rnacentral:tRNA from 1 species